AUGAAGAGAGGUGGAGCUUUGAAAGGGAAGGAUAAGCAGGAUGUGGCUGCAUUGUUUCAAGUAGACAUCCAGCUUAUUCAAAGAAUUUGGAAGACAACAAAGAAACAGAUUGCUCUUGGUCAACAGGUGGAUGUAUCAACCAAAAGGAAAGAAAGAUGUGGCAGAAAAGCGGUCGAUGGCUUUCUAUCACAAAUCUCAACAGUGCCACUAAAUAGAAGGUCAAGCAUAAGAUCACUUGCUGCUGCACUGGGUGUCCGCCGUUCCACACUCCACAGGAAGUUCCAGCUU
rnacentral:rRNA from 1 species